GGAAAGGUGCUCGAGUGGCUGAAGAGGCACGCCUGGAAAGCGUGUAUACGUCAAAAGCGUAUCGGGGGUUCGAAUCCCCCUCUUUCCG
rnacentral:tRNA from 3 species